rnacentral:rRNA from 1 species
GAUGAACGCUGGCGGCGUGCCUAACACAUGCAAGUCGAGCGGCAACGCGGGGUGCUUGCACCCUGUCCGCGAGCGGCGGACGGCUGAGUAACGCGUGUGAACUUUCCCCAAAGUUAGGAAUAACUGCCCGAAAUGGGGGCUAAUCCCGCAAGUACUCUUCGGAUCAAAGGGUUUAUCCGCUUUGGGAGCGGCUCGAGUCGGGUUUGGUAGUUGGUGAGGUAAUUGCUCACCAAGGGGAGGACCCGCAGCUCGUCUGAGAGGCUGCCCAGCCAGACUGGCAGUGAGACCCGGUACAGACUCGUGCGGGAGGCAGGAGUGAGGAAUCUUACAAAAUGGGCGAAAGGAUGAUGGAGCACGGCCGCGGGAAGGAUGAAGGCCGGGGGGAAGUAAACUGCUUGUAUAAGUGAGGGAUAUGACGGUAACUUAUGAAAAAGGCACGGCUAACUACGUG